AGAGAGAAACGCACGGGAAAGAGAAAAUCGCAUGGAGAAAGAGAAAAAACACAGGGAGAAGGGCUGACCGUUGACGAUUGCGGCGAUGGGGAGACAUCACAAGUGGGCGCGAACAUAAGCACCAGGAGGGGUACCUUGAAUCUGUGGUGGCCGAAGAUGUGCUUGACUCAACCAGAUCUAUGGUGGCCGACGAUCUUGCAAGAGGUGCGCGGUGAUUCGACGUCGACAACGAUCUCUUUCUAUUUUGAUUCUUCUUUUUUUAUUUGUUAUGUUGUUUGUGUUGUUUUCUUUUUAAAAAAUUUUACAGGUUAAAUUGGUGCGGGGUAAAGGUGAUAUUUGGAUACAAACCAUGUGAGAAAGGAGAGUGUAUGGGAAGAGCUUUUAGUGGAGAAUUGGUAAGAUGGUGGUAAAUGACUUUUUUUUAUCUAUGAAGAUGAUGAGUAGUGAUUUUUAGUAUGAUUUUCAACUUUCUGAAAGUGAAAAGAGAAUAACAUGGGAGAGUGCGGUUUUUUUUUGAAAAAAAUAGUAUGAGAUCUUGUAGAUGUGUUUCAGGUGUUUCUCUUGUAUUGUGUAUGUGGCUUUUUUACUGUGUUGUUGGUAUACGCUCGUAAGGGUUCCCUUGUGUAUAAAUUGUUGGAUUAUUUUUAUAUUAAAAAAUUAGGUUAACACAAAUGGAAAC
rnacentral:lncRNA from 1 species